GGCUUGUCUACUCUCGGUGGAGGCUUAAGCAUUGGUUUGUUAUGCGCAUUAGAAAGGAUUAAAUAGUGUUCUUUCUGAAAAGAGUUUUGGUCACACGGGGGUGACAAGUUGAAUUAAUAUGUUGGAUGUUUUGAUUGGUUUCGGUCGCACGAGGGCGAGAAAAGGAUAUGUUUGAUGUGUUGAGAUGUUUUUUGGUUGGAUGACGAUUACUCGGAUAAUCGAGUAAGACAACUUGUAUCCUAAUAGUCGGGAAAGGGAAUAGAAG
rnacentral:lncRNA from 1 species